GAAGCCUCCAAGACGAACAAAGCCCAACCAAGGAUUGGGCUUUCAAGUGAUAGGAGGAGACGAAAUGAGCUCGCCGGCGUCCAUGGGUUUUCGAGGCUGUUUGACCUUGAUUCGCCAUCCACAAUGAACGGAGAGCCUCCCCACCACUAUGAACGACGUCCAUGGCAAGAGCACUCGUGCCUCCAUUUAUCUUUGUGAGAUAUAUAUAUAUAUGUAUAUAAUUCAUUUUAGAGAAAAGUGAUAACUUUCUGUGUGUGUGUGUGUGUUUUUUUUUUAAAUUUUAUUUUUAUUAAUGGUUCUUUGUUGCAGUUCCACCAGUACCAGGUUGUGGGAAGGGCUCUCCCUACCGAGUCUGAUGAAGCUUUGGGCCACCAAUGAGUUCAGCACCAAGUCCAAAUUCUGGUAAGCCAAGGUUUUGAUUGUGAUUUUGAGAUCUUUUAGCUUUGUUAUUGGAUUUAGGGGAUUCUAGACAUGUCUUUUUAAUUUGGGUUAUCGAUUUUUUUUGUUUUUGUUUCUAUUGAUUGAUUUUUGAUAUGAGCUUUUAUAUCAAAAAUUCUGUUUGUGUUUUUCAUAUGAGCUUUUAUGGGUUUUGAUUUCAUAACUUCUUGCUGUAGGGACAUUGUCAUCCAAAAAUCAUGAAAGCAUUACAAGAACAGGCAGAAAGGCUCACCCUUAGCUCUCGAGCAUUCCAUAAUGAUAAAUUUUCAAUAUUUGUUGAGCGUCUAAUAGAAAUGUUCGGAUAUGACAUGGUGCUGCCUAUGAACACUGGUGUUGAAGGUGUAGAAACAGCUCUGAAGUUGGCCAGGAAAUGGGGUUACGAGAAGAAGAAAAUUUCGAAAGAUAAGGCUAUCAUCGUAUCAUGCUGCGGAUGCUUCCAUGGUCGUACGUUAGGCGUCA